ACACUUACCUGGCAGGGGAGAUACCAUGAUCACGAGGGUGGUUUUCCCAGGGCGAGGCUUAUCCAUUGCACUCUGGAUGUGCUGACCCCUGCGAUUUCCCCAAAUGUGGGAAACCAGACUGCAUAAUUUGUGGUAGUGGGGGACUGCGUUCACGCUUUCCCCUG
rnacentral:snRNA from 1 species